GUACACACCGCCCGUCACAUCACGAAAGUAGGUUGUACUAGAAGUAGCUGGGCCAACUCGUAAGAGGGGUAGGUUACCACGGUAUGAUUUAUGAUUGGGGUGAAGUCGUAACAAGGUCUUCGUAGGUGAACCUGCAGAAGGAUCA
rnacentral:rRNA from 1 species